rnacentral:lncRNA from 1 species
CACGUGAUAGCUCAUAACUGUAUGUAACUCCUGGGAUACAUCGUGAUUUUUAGGUGAGUCUGGCUGUAAGUGAGACUCCAUUUCCAAAAGAAGGAAGAGGAGCGAGAGAAGCGGGAUGAGAUGGAAAGUCGCAGCAGCGGGAAAGAAGGGGAAAGGGGUUUAAAAUGGCCGAGGAGAUGCAGUUGGUUUUUUGUUUGUUUGUUUGGUUGGUUGGUUGUUUUUCUCAAAAUGGAUGUGUGAAUGGCCCAAGCCCAUGACGGGAUAGAUGUUCAGCAUACUGGGAGAGAAAAAUCAAAGUCACGACGAGAUAUGCAUUCUUCACUCAUAUCCCACAGGAAGGCUGGACUGAAGCAAAUGUUAAAGAGGAUGGGAGACCCCGAGUCGCUCCACACCCCUGCUGCUGGUGAUGGAGGCUCAACCAGCCAGGUCUCCUCCAAGUGUCGCCAUGGGACCCGAGGCCACAGAGCAUCGGGGGAGAGUGAAGCACAACGGUCUCGUCAGAGGUGCCAGCUGGAGCCGCAAGUUGAGAACUCUGCCUGGUCAGAUGGUAGUCAACGGGGAGUGACCUUGUCGUCGGUACAACAAAUGGAGCCCCGGGUCUCCUGGCUGAUGUCCUGGACUUGGGCAACAGGAAGGAAAGUCCAGUAUUCUGAGCACUGGAUCUAUACGGGCACCUUGAGGAUUCCUGGCCACUCAGACGCUCACUUUUCUGAGUCAGCCAGCAAUACGCCCGCUGACAGAUAGGCAGACUGAAGCUCAGGGAGGUGACCUGCUCCAGGGGAGGUGGGCCUGCCUGAAGCUUCAGUCUUUCUGAACGGUGGGGAAGGGAGCCCCUUGUGCUCAAGGCACCCAGUGCCAGCAUAUACUGGAUAGUGAGCCCAGGACACCUGCAAGACCCAGCAUCACUCCACAGCAGCUGGGCACGAAGCUGCUACCUGGUCUCGCUCCUAUCGGGGGUUUGAUUUGGGUGUGGCCCUCCUUAGGGUUUGCUUUGGGUGUGGCCCUCCUUAGGUGAGAACCAUGGACCUGGAAGCCUCCCUCGCCUCCUUUUUUUUCUUGUUGCUCAGGAUGGAACCCAUUGUUUUGCGGAUCCUGGGGGAAGUGGGCGGUUACUGAGCUGCCCCUGCCUUUCUUGCUCCCCUUUCGGAGCAGGGACAUAGGCUCUGCAGCAUUCAGAAGGAGGAGCCUGUGUUCAUGAUGUCCCCUCAUCCUGGGUCCUUUUUACAGAAUGACGAAGGAAAGUAUCACCAGGGCAGAAUUUCCAGCAUCCUGAGGCCACCCGUACCCAGAUCCAGAGGUUUUGCCCCAGGGUAGAGCAGAUGAGACAAGGCUGUGUGGGUGGAGACUAACCAGGAGCAGGAUUCUGGCACCGGCGUUCCAGCGGGUUGGACUGGGGAGAAAAAGGGGCGCCCUCGCUGUCCUCGUGCUUUUGAUGGCACGGUGCCCUCUGGUGGCGAUAUGGGGCAUCACUCUUCUUUGUUCGUGACCACUGGGUGGCGGCUUUCAAGGCCUAAGGUGGACUUGAUUUUCCUCUUCCAUCUUCCCCCCUGAGUCUUGCACUGGAAUUCCCACCUGCAGCAUAGCGGUCGCUCGGGGAGGGGGUAAAACAAAGCCCUCUGUAGACAGAAGCAGAGGCUUCAGUGGCCCUCGGCCAUGCCUGUCAGCUGACCACUCCCAUUCUUUCUGAUAAUGGAGCUCUGUGUGUUUCGGAAUCGCUGUGACAGAGCUCCCUUUGUCUCCAUGGGCUUGUUUGUAUGAACAAAGUUGCUUAGUGUUCACACCGUUUAAACCCAAAAGUGAGCGUAUAAUUGCAACUGAGAGAGCUGCGCGUGCGCACGUGUACACACACACACACACACACACACACACACACGCACACACACACACACUCUCACACACGCUCACACACGCACGCACACACGCACAUACGCACACAUGCACACACUCUCUCACACACAUUCCAAGGAUAAAUUUUAUCAAAUUAGUACAAAAAUCUGUGGCCAAAGCUGAGUGGAAAUGCAAAGUGGAGCAGGAACCCGUUUUGCUGUUAAGUGCUUCGUGCUUCCUAUUUGUGACAAGAAUCGAGAGAAACAGUUUAACUGGGCAAGUGGGGACUCGAUUCCAACUUCAGAGGUUUCAAUUCGGGGUCACCAGCCCCACUGCCUUUAUGCCUGUCUUUAUGUGGAGAGGAAGAACACAAAGCAGAAAGGGCGCGGCAGGAGAAAGCUGCUCACAUCAUGGCAGACAGGAAACAGAGAGCGAGAGCGAGAGCGAGAGCGAGAGCGAGAGCGAGAGCGAGAGCGAGAGCGAGAGCGAGAGCGAGAGCGAGAGCGAGAGCGAGAGCGAGAGCGAGAGCGAGAGCGAGAGCGAGAGCGAGAGCGAGAGCGAGAGCGAGAGCGAGAGCGAGAGCCAGGGUCUGGAGAGACGCUCUAAGGGCAAGCCUCCCGCAACCCCUUUCUUCUGACAAUGCCCCACCCUUCCAUAGUCCAACCUCUUCCCAACAGUCUAUUAACAAUUUGAAUACAUCAGUGGAUUAAGCCGUAGAUCUCCCCUAACAUCCAAUCCUCUCCGGAAACACCCUCAAGGCAGACUAGGGGUGUUUUACAAAUACAGGUCUUUUCUAGCAGAAGCUUUAAUCCCAGCACUCUGGAGGCAGAGGCAGGGGGAUUUUCAUGUGAGUUUGAGACUAGCCUGGUCUAGUAGCAAGUUUCAGUUUAGCUAGGGUAACACAA